AAAAGAAUCAUCUAGCAAGCUAUCAGGUGAUGACAUAGAGAUUGCAAAAAAUAUGGACCCUCUUUGGAAAACCAAAUCAGGAAGCAAGCUAUCUAAUUGGGAAUCAACCAAAUGCUGGGCAGAAAAUGAUCAGGAAUAUCAUAUGGAGCUUUUGUUUCGGAUGAGACAGUUACGAGUUGAGAUAGCAAAAUUAUCUCAAGUGAUUGACCGACUAUGUCAAGAGAUCAACCGCCUAUCUCAAGAGAAUGACGAACCAGAAGCUUUGGUAAUUGAGAUCAAAAACUUUUAUUCUUUGGCAUAUAUCUUCCUCUUUUUUUUGGUGUACAAAUAUAUCUUCCUUUCAUUUGACUACUAAUAUUCAUAUGUAAUGAGUUUACAGCUCAAUUAAUUAAUUUCCUUUAUGCCUGAUUAAUGAUUUUAUAAGCCUUAUGGAGAUUGUUACUAGGAAUGAGUCUAUAAUAAAGCCUUAAUGAUUAAAGUUUUCCUCUUCAAGGAGUAGUCAUAACAAUGAAUUUAUCGUAGCUGCUUCAUGACCUUCGAGUAUUGCUGAAUAUUUUGAGCCAUUAAAGUUUGACUUCUUUUAGUUAUUUCAAUUUUUGACUUAUUUAAAUAUUA